rnacentral:tRNA from 2 species
CGGGUGUAGCUCAAUGGUAGAGCGCUUGCUUCCCAAGCAAGAUACGCGGGUUCGAUUCCCGUCACCC